rnacentral:lncRNA from 1 species
ACAUGAUUUUGCACAUGCGUAAGUAAAAUAAGAUAGUAACAAACUGUAAACAAAAGGCCUUUACUGACACUGAUAAAGACGUCUACCAAUAAACAAUGGACAUUAGCAUUCAUGGUUAAACAGUAUAGGGGAUCCCUAAAGCCUAACUUGAUUCUAUCUAUUUCUGUGCUUCCAUUUAAUAUAUGGGCCCCUUAUAACAUUCCUAAAUCCAUUGUAACACAAAGUGGAGAAGGAAUAAAGAACUCACCAGCGAUAGGUUUAGGUCCUGCAUCUCUUGGGCGAAGGUGAAAGUUCCCUCAUGGGACAGAGGAGGACAGAGGUCACGCGCUCGCACCCUACAGCUCCUGAGCGAACCACCUCAAGGUCCAUGGAACUUGGUUUUCCCUCAGGAAUAGGCCGAACACUAACCACAGCACUGGGCAACAAAGGCAAACUUUAACUCAGAAAGUCUGAAGGAAUCUGACAGACCCUAAGGACAGAACAUCAGCAAAGUCUUCCAAAUGUCUGCAGAAGAAACCUUGUGAGGUUAUGUCCAGAACCCUGCAAAUUAUGGAGGCAAAUGGCCUGCCCCCCCAACACUCGUGACUGUUUUUAGUCUCCUCUGCGCAAGUGCGUUCCCAGUCCCGCCUUCUCCGCCUCUGACACCUGGCCUCAUGGGAAGAGCAUCCCGGAACUUUCCAGACCACAUAGGCAGCCAUUUUGAGUGUGAGAGCGGCACAGGACUUGUCCUCCACAGGGCUCCUAACCUGCGCUGCAGCAAGGCGGUCUCCUGCAGAUUGAUCAGAAUGUGGUGUUACACACUUCAGUGUCAUAUAUGGAUAGGAGUGUGGAGUUCAGCCAGGAGGAGUGGCAGGACACGGGUCCUCUCUGAGGAUCCUCAGAAGAUCACCAGGAUGUGGUGCUGGAGAACUACAUUACUUCCUCAACAUUUCAGAGGGCAAGUUAACCUCAGUGACAGAGUAUGCGGUAUUUCCUGA